rnacentral:misc_RNA from 1 species
ACAGAAAAAAUCCACUUCCUCGAUAUGAGAAUGCAGAGCUCUUAAAUGGUCAACAGUGUCACCUGAAUCAAGCAUUAAAUAUCUUCAAAAGCAGCCUCAUUGCAUAAAUAGCAAGAUUUGAUAGAAGAAUGGGAAUUUUAGAUCUUCCUAGAGAGGUACUGUUGAUGAUUUUUUCCUAUGUUCCGCUCUACAACAUCCUUUUCUCGGUUCAGCAAACAUGCCGGGCAUGGAAUGACCUGUGCUUCCAUCAUUACUUGUGGAGAGAGGUUCAUUACAGCAAAGAGUUUGACGAAAGACUAACCAAAAAGAAGCUACUCUCUGUUCUGAAAAAAGUAUCUAAAGGAGUAAAACAUAUUUCUUUCGAGAAAGCUUUACAAAGCGAAGAGAACCAUUUUUCAUUUAAUAAAUUUCUGCGAUGUAUUUUGCACGAAAAUGUAGACAUGGGAAACAUCGCAUCGCUAAAGAUACCAUCUAUUCCUUACAAAUAUUUAGAACCCCUUGUAAAGAAAUGUCCAGGAUUGUCUUCGAUCGAAAUCGGCUAUAAAUACGCAUACUGCAACGAUGGAAUUUUUUUCGACACUUUAAAAAGACUUCCUAACCUUAAAGAAUUUAGGAUAUCAAAAUCGGCGGAAUUCGUACCCUUAAAUGUUGAUGAAGAUUUCUCACAGCAGACCAUGUUUAACGAAUUCCUAGCAGACAUGUUUAGCAGUUUGUUGGAAUUGGAGGUCGUUCACAUUGACAGUGCAAACAAAUUAUACGAUUCUACUUUGUGUGUUCUUUUAAGCAAAUGUAAAAAUCUGAGAGAACUUGCUCUCUAUGAAUGUAUUUGUAAAACUAAUGCUGGACUCGAGUCGUUGCCCGAUAAAUCAGGAAUUACUUCCCUUCAUUUGAUUUCUGCUGGUAUUAAUGACGAUGGAAUGGAACACAUAUGCAGAUCAUGUCCUGAUCUUCGUGAAGUCUCGUUUACCGGCUGUAGGUACGUCACAGACAUUUCAAUCGUCCAUUUAUGUAUAGACUGUCCGAACCUAGAAUCCCUCACUGUAUCGGAUCCAGACACCGCCUACCACAGAUCCAACAUGAGGGACGACGGUCUGGAGACAUUAUUCCAGCGGAGCUGUACUUCCCUAACGGAACUAGAUAUAUCUGGUUGUAAAUCUAUCACAGAUGAAACACUACGAGUCAUUGCUGUGUGUUGCACCAAUCUCGAGUCUGUAAACUUAAGUAAAUGUUUCCGUUUGAGAGGCGGAGGCGUCAAUUUAUUGGUGACGUCUUGUAAAAGGCUAAAAACCCUUAACUUGACCAGAUGUCGGUUUCUUAAUGACCUUAAUUUUGAGGCAUUUGAUCCAAAGGAAACUCCCUUUGAUAGGUAACGUUGCAUUUAUUAUUUUUUACGGGCAACUUUAUUAUCAAUAUUUUUUUAUUUUGAUGCACAGACACCUCUACAUAUACAUGUACAUAUUUUUUAUUAUGAGAAAACAAUAUACAACGCCAGUUAUGAUUAAUGGGAGAAUGUUGGAUAUUGUAAGGUUACAUGAAUAUCUAUGAAAAAGCAAUAGGAAUAAAGCAAGAACUGUUCAU